rnacentral:lncRNA from 1 species
CUUUAUACGGUUUAGUAUGUUUCAUGUAACUGUUAGUAUGGUUUCAUGUAACUGUGUUAUACUGUUAGUAUGUUUCAUGUAACUGUUAGUAUGUUUCAUGUAACUGUCAUACUGUUAGUAUUUUUCAUGUACUGUCAUACGUUAGGUGUUUCAUGUAAACUGUCAUACUGUUAGUAGGUUUCAUGUAACUGUUAGUAUGUUUCUACUGUCAUAUCGGUUAGUAUGUUUCAUGUAACUGUCAUACGUUAGUAUGUUUCAUGUAA